UACAGAGGGUGCAAGCGUUAAUCGGAAUUACUGGGCGUAAAGCGUACGUAGGCGGCUUUGUAAGUUAGAGGUGAAAGCCCGGGGCUCAACCCCGGAAUUGCCUUUAAGACUGCAUCGCUUGAAUCAUGGAGAGGUGAGUGGAAUUCCGAGUGUAGAGGUGAAAUUCGUAGAUAUUCGGAAGAACACCAGUGGCGAAGGCGACUCACUGGACAUGUAUUGACGCUGAGGUACGAAAGCGUGGGGAGCAAACAGGG
rnacentral:rRNA from 1 species